UACAGAGGGGGCAAGCGUUGUUCGGAAUUACUGGGCGUAAAGCGUGCGCAGGCGGUUCUCCAAGUCCGUUGUGAAAGCCCCGGGCUCAACCUGGGAAUGGCAGUGGAAACUAGGGGACUGGAACCUGGCAGAGGGGGGUGGAAUGCCGCGUGUAGCAGUGAAAUGCGUAGAGAUGCGGCGGAACACCGAUGGCGAAGGCAGCCCCCUGGGCUAACACUGACGCUCAGGCACGAAAGCGUGGGGAGCAAACAGG
rnacentral:rRNA from 1 species